rnacentral:lncRNA from 1 species
AUAAACGGGUCUGACUCAAUCCGGGGGCCCAGGAUCAUCUGGAUGAAGGGCUCUGAUGUCCCCCAUCAACUUCUUCCGGGUGAGAAAAACUCGAUCCCGUCGAGUACAGGUCUGGCUGGCUGUCGUACUGCUGCAGAAGAUCGGGGUCAAGGCGCUGUAACUGUGCUCUGGAAAUCCACGUCACAUCAGACUUUGGUCGACCUUUCCACCGAACAAGGUAACAUUGGUAACCACCGUUCCUG